rnacentral:lncRNA from 1 species
AUCAGCUUUGGUGCUCAAAUCUGAAUGUAUCUGCCCAAAUCUCUUGAGGGUUUGUUUUGGUAAGUUAGCUUUAUUCAAAAUAAUGCAAUUUUUAGUUUACCAAUCUUCAGUUCUUUGUGUUGCUUGAAUAAAACAUUUCGGCUUCUUCAGAAUGAAACAGUUAAAAAUGCUGCUAUUGUUCAUAUUUAUAUGCUUCUAUUAUGUCUGUUUGAAUUUGGGAAUUUUUG